rnacentral:rRNA from 1 species
CGUGUCUCUAGUGUCAGCCGCCGCGGUAAUACGUAGGUGGCGAGCGUUGUCCGGAAUUACUGGGUGUAAAGGGAGUGUAAGGCGGGAAGGCAAGUCAGAAGUGAAAAUUAUGGGCUUAACCCAUAACCUGCUUUUGAAACUGUUUUUCUUGAGUGAGGCAGAGGCAAGCGGAAUUCCUAGUGUAGCGGUGAAAUGCGUAGAUAUUAGGAGGUAACACCAAGUGGCGAAAGGCGGACUUGCUGGGCCUUUACUGACGCUGAGGCUCGAAAAGCGUGGGGGAGCAAACAGGUAUUAGAUACCCUUGGUAGUCCACGCCGUAAACG